AGGGAUCAUUACCGAGUUUACAACUCCCAAACCCCUGUGAACAUACCAAUUGUUGCCUCGGCGGAUCAGCCCGCUCCCGGUAAAACGGGACGGCCCGCCAGAGGACCCCUAAACUCUGUUUCUAUAUGUAACUUCUGAGUAAAACCAUAAAUAAAUCAAAACUUUCAACAACGGAUCUCUUGGUUCUGGCAUCGAUGAAGAACGCAGCAAAAUGCGAUAAGUAAUGUGAAUUGCAGAAUUCAGUGAAUCAUCGAAUCUUUGAACGCACAUUGCGCCCGCCAGUAUUCUGGCGGGCAUGCCUGUUCGAGCGUCAUUUCAACCCUCAAGCCCCCGGGUUUGGUGUUGGGGAUCGGCGAGCCCUUGCGGCAAGCCGGCCCCGAAAUCUAGUGGCGGUCUCGCUGCAGCUUCCAUUGCGUAGUAGUAAAACCCUCGCAACUGGUACGCGGCGCGGCCAAGCCGUUAAACCCCCAACUUCUGAAUGUUGACCUCGGAUCAGGUAGGAAUACCCGCUGAACUUAA
rnacentral:rRNA from 2 species